rnacentral:rRNA from 1 species
UACAGGGGGUGCUAACGUUGCUCGGAAUCAUUGGGCGUAAAGCGCACGUAGGCGGUUCGUUAUGUCGGAUGUGAAAGCCCUUGGCUUAACCGAGGAAGUGCAUCCGAAACUGGCGAGCUAGAGUACGAAAGAGGAUCGCGGAAUUCCCGGUGUAGAGGUGAAAUUCGUAGAUAUCGGGAGGAACACCGGUGGCGAAGGCGGCGAUCUGGGUCGAUACUGACGCUGAGGUGCGAAAGCGUGGGGAGCAAACAGG